rnacentral:tRNA from 1 species
GAGGGUAUAGCUCAAAUGGUAGAGCACAUGCUUAGCAUGCACGAGGUCCUGGGUUCAAUCCCCAGUACCUCCA